rnacentral:misc_RNA from 1 species
UCCGGCUUGUCGCCGGCAGUCCCCUUAGAGUCCCCGGCAUUACCCGCUGGCAACUAAGGGCAGGGGUUGCGCUCGUUGCGGCACUUAAGCCAACACCUCACGGCACGAGCUGACGACAGCCAUGCAGCACCUGUGCUAGCCCCUUACGGACACCGGCUUUCACCGGCUUUAACUAGCAUGUCAAGCCUAGGUAAGGUUCUUCGCGUUGCAUCGAAUUAAGCCACAUGCUCCGCCGCUUGUGCGGGCCCCCGUCAAUUCCUUUGAGUUUCACCGUUGCCGGCGUACUCCCCAGGUGGAUUACUUAUCGCUUUUGCUAAGCCACUGAGGGUUGCCCCCCAGCAGCGAGUAAUCAUCGUUUACAGUGUGGACUAC